AGAGCUUGGUAUUGGAAUAGUGCCGUAUGCCCCUCUUGGUUGUGGCUUUUUUGGUGGUCGUGGUGUUGUGGAAACCGUUCCUGCAGUUAGCUCCCUGAGCUCGUAUCCCCGCUUACAGUCAGAGAAUUUGGAGAAGAACAAGAAAAUAUAUGAUCGAAUAGAAACGUUGCUAAGAAGCAUCAGUGCACUCCUGCUCAGCUAGCAUUAGCAUGGGUACUCCAACAAGGCAAUGACGUUGUGCCUAUCCCUGGAACAACAAAGAUUAAGAACCUAGAUCAAAAUUUGGGUGCCUUGGCAGUGAAACUUUCAAAUGGGGACCUCAAAGAAAUUUCUGAGGCAGUCCCCAUUGAUGAAGUGGCAGGUGAUCAACACUUUGAGAGCUGGGACCAAU